AGGGCGCGGAGCAGGGCGGGAGGGAGCGCGGGGGCCGCUUGCUGCCGGCCUCAGUCAGACGCCGCUCCGCUCCGGGCUCGGACGGAAAACAGUCCCCUGCGCCACCUCCGCGGCCGCUGCUACCGCUACUGAGCCAACAAAGGGGCGUGCGUCACCGCGCCGCGCUACGUCAUCGCGUCGGUCCGCUGCACGUCACCGCGCCACGCCCCUUGGCCCCUGCGUAGUAUUUGGGGAGACCCCACGGCCGAGCCUGAGCAGGACGGGAGCGCGGCGGCGCGGCGGUGGCCCGGAGACACUGGGAAGCUGUGGCUCCUUGACGUGAGGAGGCUGGGGCCUUCCGGUCGUGGGGAGGAGUCUGGGGAGCGCCCAAGCGGAGGUUUUCUCCGAGGACCUUUCUCGCUUCCGGGCCUCACAGGCACAUCUGACACGCCCUGGCUAGUUCCGGGAAGCCGGUAGCUGUGCUGCUAAAAUUCCGGUUGCCCGAGUUACUGCCUGGAAGGUAGUAGUACGCGGAACCUCCAAGUUGGGUGACAGGGAUAAUUCCAGGAAACAGUGCAGGCAAACCACAUCUACAAAGACCAAGAGAGACUGCUUAUCUGGAAAUAGUGCAGAAGUGAGCUGGGUUGAUGGAUGGCUAUUUCAACAGAGGAGGAGAGGAAGAUGGCCUUGGGUCAAAACAGAAGGUUCACAAUAGUUACAAGGCUGAAGUUUAAAACUCAAUCAGUAAAUGGGAAGUAUUGGGCAAAUUAGUUAGAGGUCAUGACAAAGCACUUAAUGCCUUUCCAAGACUGGGUUUAUCUUGUUUUGUUUGCUUUAGACUUAAUACCUUGAAAAUAGGACACCAGAGCCAGGAAAGUGUUUUGAAGGAAGUAGAGGCUUAAGAGACCUCCCUCUUCCAGUAACUUGAAGGAUUGGCCAGUCUGAAAAUCUAUUAAAGCUGAACCCUUAAUAGAUACAGUACUUAAGAUAUAGAUUCUGUUUAGAAAUUGCCUUUGAAAAAGUGGAAAAUAUAUAGAUACAUACUUAUAUAAUGUCUAUGUGCUACAGUGGCUGGCCACUACCAGAAAAAUGCAUAGCAAUAUGCAUGCUAAGUUUCAAACACAAAGCCAGCUGAACCCUCAAUACUACUCGACAGUACUGUUAUUUGUGUCUUACUGUAUAGCACCUUUCCAGGAGUUCUAGAAAGAAUCAAAAAAGGACCCUGCCAUACAGGAGAUCACAAUUUCAUUUGGAAAGACUGUAAUGUAUUUUUAAAGUCUAAUUAUAAAGAUGUAGUUGAAAAGAUGUCACAAGCCGAAAGGAAUGGGAGGUGCUAAAGAAGAUCCCAGGAGGCAGGGUCACUAACCUGGGAUAUUCUAAGAAAUCACAGUAUGAAGACUGGAGAGAAGCUCAGAAGUGCUCACACUUGCUGUCUUCAUAAGAACUUGAAUGCUGUGAGAAAGAGAAGAGAAGUAGGAGAUCAGAUGUCCAUUUCUUCUAGACCAGUCCUUAUCUAGGACUUCUCUGAGGCACAUGUCCAUCUAACCUCCAUCAUUAGCAGCUUUUAAUACUGCAUUGCAAGUCAAAGUAGACAGGAUACAAAGACCACAGUGCAGCUCAUUUGUCAAUGAAUGAAGGACUGCAGACUGACAUUAACUGCCACAAGCCAGAAAUAGCAGCAUUGGGUUGUGUCCACAGAUCAUCAAAGCUUUCAGAAAUGAAAAAGCUGUUGUUCUGUCUUUUAUUUAUUUUGGUAUUUUUAUUCUUCUGGUUUCUUUUGGAAACAAUACAAUGAUUUAAAAGUUAUAAUUGGGCUGGGGACAUAACUCCAUACUACAACAUUUGCCUAGCAAACAGAAGGGCUUGAGCUUGAAUUCCCCAGUUCCAAACAACUACAACCAGGACAGUUAACUCCAGGAACUGAAUGUCAACUCUUACAAAUCCAUGAACCAAAGGUUAACACUUCCAGUCAUGUUUCAAGAUGGCAGAGAACUGGUUUUUAUAUUCUCUCAGUAAACAUUAGUAGAGUAAUAAUGGAAAGCUGUGGCAUAUGACUUGUCUAGAAUUUUCUAUGAAUUGCUUCCCAUUUGGCUUUUAUGAACAGGUAAUUUUGAGCUGGCAAGAUGGCUCAGUGGGUAGGCUCUUUUUACUGAGCCUGAUGACAUGAACUUGAUGUCUGGGACCCACAUGGUAGAAGAAGAACCAAUUCCUGCAAGUUGUCCUUUGACCUACAUAUGAACCAUGUAUAUGCACACAUACUAGAUGUAAAAAAUAUAUAUAGAAAAUUUAACAUACUCAGAAAUGUGAUU
rnacentral:lncRNA from 1 species